AGCAGUCAGAGCACGUUAAAGUGUGAUGGCGUACUUUUUGUAGAACGGUCCGGCGAGUUAUAGUAACGAGCAAGCUUAAGGUAUUCAGUACCGGAGGCGCAGCGAGAGCGAGUCUGAACAGGGCGUAUGAAGUUCGUUGCCAUAGACCCGAAACCGGGUGACCUAUCCAUGAGCAGGUUGAAGUGGAGGUAAAACUCCAUGGAGGACCGAACCGACCUUCGUUGCAAUGACGGCGGAUGACUUGUGGAUAGCGGAGAAAUUCCAAUCGAACUCGGAGAUAGCUGGUUCUCCCCGAAAUAGCUUUAGGGCUAGCGUUGAUAAUAGAUUCCCGGAGGUAAAGCACUGAAUGUCCUAGGGGCCGAUAAGGUUACCAAAGACUAUCAAACUAAGAAUGCCGGAGAAUUGGUCAUCAGCAGUCAGACAGUGUGAGAUAAGUUUCAUUGUCAAAAGGGAAACAGCCCAGACCUACAGCUAAGGUCCCAAAUGUAUGCUAAGUGGAAAACGAUGUGGGAUUGCGAAAACAACCAGGAUGUUGGCUCAGAAGCAGCCAUACAUUAAAAGAGUGCGUAAUAGCUCACUGGUCGAGUGGUCCUGCGCGGAAAAUGUAACGGGGCUAAGCAUACAACCGAAGCUUAGGAUUGUAGAAAUACAGUGGUAGGGGAGCGUCGAAUGAGGGGUGAAGUCGCAGCGGGAGCAGCGGUGGACUUCAUUCGAGUGAGAAUGCCGGAAUGAGUAGCGAGAAUUAUGUGGGAAUCAUAAUGGUCGAAAAUCUAAGGUUUCCUGGGGAAGGUUCGUCCUCCCAGGGUAAGCCGGGAGCUAAGGCGAGGCCGAAAGGCGUAGUCGAUGCACAUACGGUAGAAAUUCCGUAGCCGCCGAACUUUAAGCAUGCUGACACAUUGAGAUAGCGGAACCCAGGCGUUGGUUGACCUGGGCGUAAGGGACCGAAAUAUAGUAGGGAAGUCCGCGAUGCUCAGUGGCGAGAAAAGGCAUGAGGUAUACUAAGGCGCCCGUACCGCAAACCGACACAGGUGGAUGAGGAGAAAAUCCUAAGACCAGCGGGAGAAGGGUUGUUAAGGAACUCUGCAAGUUGACCCCGUAACUUCGGAAUAAGGGGAGCCUCGAAAGAGGUCACAGUUAAUAGGCCCAAGCAACUGUUUACCAAAAACACAGGUUUAUGCUAAAUCGAAAGAUGACGUAUAUGAGCUGACGCCUGCCCGGUGCUGGAAGGUUAAGAGGAGGGCUUAGCCGCAAGGCGAAGGUCUGAAUUGAAGCCCCAGUAAACGGCGGCCGUAACUAUAACGGUCCUAAGGUAGCGAAAUUCCUUGUCAGGUAAGUUCUGACCCGCACGAAAGGCGUAAUGAUUUGGGCACUGUCU
rnacentral:rRNA from 1 species